CAGCCGCCGCGGUAAUACGGAGGGUGCAAGCGUUAAUCGGAAUUACUGGGCGUAAAGAGUACGUAGGCGGUUUAUUAAGUCAGAUGUGAAAGCCCCGGGCUUAACCUGGGAACUGCAUUUGAUACUGGUAAACUAGAGUAUGGUAGAGGGGGGUAAAAUUUCUGGUGUAGCGGUGAAAUGCGUAGAUAUCAGAAGGAAUACCAGUGGCGAAGGCGGCCCCCUGGCCCAAUACUGACGCUGAGGUACGAAAGCGUGGGUAGCGAACAGGAUUAGAUACCCUGGUAGUCCACGCCGUAAACGAUGUCAACUAGCCGUUGGGACCUUGAGGUCUCAGUGGUGCAGCUAACGCGUGAAGUUGACCGCCUGGGGAGUACGGCCGCAAGGCUAAAACUCAAAUGAAUUGACGGGGGCCCGCACAAGCGGUGGAGCAUGUGGUUUAAUUCGAUGCAACGCGAAGAACCUUACCUACCCUUGACAUUGACAGAAUCCUUUAGAGAUAGAGGAGUGCCUUCGGGCCUGGAAAACAGGUGCUGCAUGGCUGUCGUCAGCUCGUGUCGUGAGAUGUUGGGUUAAGUCCCGCAACGAGCGCAACCCUUGUCCUUAGUUGCCAACACGUUAUGGUGGGAACUCUAGGGAGACUGCCGGUGAUAAACCGGAGGAAGGUGGGGAUGACGUCAAGUAUUCAUGGCCCUUAUGGGUAGGGCUACACACGUGCUACAAUGGCCAGUACAAAGGGUUGCUAACUCGCGAGAGCAAGCUAAUCCCAUAAAGCUGGUCGUAGUCCGGAUUGGAGUCUGCAACUCGACUCCAUGAAGCGGAAUUCGCUAGUAAUCGUGAAUCAGAAUGUCACGGUGAAUACGUUCCCGGGCCUUGUACACACCGCCCGUCACACCAUGGGAGUGGGCUGCAAAAGAAGUGGGUAGUUUAACCCUUCGGGAGAACGCUCACCACUUUGUGGUUCAUGACUGGGGUGAAGUCGUAACAAGGUAACCGUA
rnacentral:rRNA from 1 species